GGAGAUAUAGCUUUAUGUGAAGCUCUGGGUUCAAACCCCAGUAUCUCCC
rnacentral:tRNA from 1 species